UUUUCCUCUUUUCCUUUAGGUGUUUGAAGAAAUGACAAAGUUAGAGAAUGUUUGUUUUUCUGUUGUCGUUUGAAUGGGCUGUACGCGGAAUUUAAGGGAUUGUGAAAAUGUCUACUUUUACUUGCUGAUGGAGUUAUUUAAAAGAUUGAAAAUGGAUGUCAAAACCUUAAACAAAUCAGUAACUUCUAUUGGAGAGGUCGAGCCUGAGGCUAAAGGCAUUGUGGCAUGUGGGUGUAAACUGCAUUCAUGGAAGGGCUAGAGAAAAUCUCAGUAGAGGAUCGACUGAUAUUUGAGUUUUAGGCAUAUUAUGGAAUGGAAACACAGUUUCAUGGAAGACCACGUCUCUUGGGAUGAAGAACUUUUUGUGCUCAAUGUCAUACAGCUUGUAAAGCCUUCAUGCCAUGGGGAUAGCCGAUGAAGACAGAGGGAACAACUCUGGGAUGAACUUGGAGCGAUUGUGAGACAGUGAGGAUGCAUAGCAUAAAGAGCCAAAAAUUCUUAAAGAGAUAUAGUCAGGUACCGUGUUAUUCAACUUCUGAAAUGGAAACUCCCAUUGCAAUAACAUGGAUGGAGUUCUAUUAAUCAAAUAAAUGGCUGUUAGUAUACAUUCUCCCCAAAAUGUUAAAGGAACUUGAGACUGAAAAUAUUGUACACGAGCUGUAUUCAAUAUGUGCUGAUGUUUCCUUUCAACAGCAGAGUUCUGUUGGGCACAUCGACACAUGAGUAUUGAUGUACCACUCCUUUUUUGUUCAAAAAAUUCAGUGAAUUUCAAUUCA